rnacentral:tRNA from 1 species
GAGGGUGUAUCUCAGUGGGAGAGUGUGUGCUUAGCAUGCAUGAGGCCCUGGUUCAAUCCCUAGUACCUCCA